rnacentral:tRNA from 1 species
GGAGCUGUGGUGUAGUGGCCUAACAUGCCUGCCUGUCACGCAGGAGAACGCGGGUUCGACUCCCUCAGCUCCGCCA